UUUAAUCCCCCUUUUAAAUCACUCGACCCCAAACCCUAAUCCCAUUCCUUCUAAACCCGCUGCCCUAAAACUCCCCCCUUCUCUGAAGAACCCUAAUUGCUACCUCUCAAAAUCCGUUUCCUAAUCCCUUUUUCGAAUAAAAUUUUUCUCUUAUUUACUUACCAUAUUUAUAUGUUUCCGCUACUGGUUGAUUCUCUGUAGUAUCACCUAGUAUUUACCUAAACAUAGCUAGUACUAUCUCUCUUUUAUUCUGUUCGAAUGAAUCAUAUUUCUUGAAUCUGGACCGUAUUUCGUCUACACGAGUUUGAUUCUACACAAUAAACCUUCUGCCCUAAAACUCCCCCCCUUUGAAGAACCCUAAUCGCCAGGCUCUCUAAACCUCUCUCAUAAUCCCUCUUCUAAUGGGGUUUUUUUCUUAUUUACUUGCUAUUUUUGUGUUUUUCCGCUACUGAUUGAUUCUUCAUGGUAUCACCUAGUACUUGACUAAACAUGGUAAGUACUACCUUUCUGAUUUUAUCUGAAUGAGUCUAUUUCUUACAUUUGGACCGUACUUCAUCUACACGCGUUCGAUUCUAUACUAUGUGAGUCCGAUUUUGUUUGGAUUUUGUUAAUUAACACUUUCCCUAUAAAACUAGGAUUUACAAAUUUUCUCUCUUAAAUUGAUUUCAAAUCGAUUUGCAUGAUUCUUUUCCUUGUUUGUUGUUUAAAUUAUUCUGUUUCUUUGUAUGUUUGCUCGAUUUUUGGCUACUAUAUAAACCCCUUCAUUUUUCCUUCGAGGCAGACUUUGAAAUCUAUUUUUACUAAAAGUUUGAGGGUUUUUCUACUCUCUUGAUUAUUAUUAGCCGGCUGAAAGCCAAGGCCAUUAGCAUCUUAUUACCUGUUCUUGAUGUGAGCAUUGCCCUCAGUUCAUCGAAGCUCUUGGGAACUCUGACGCAUUAAGGAUUCUUGAUUUUUCCGUGGGAAUUUAUUCUUUACUAUUCUUUGCUUAAUAGGUGAGUCACUAUACUUUGCAAUUUCAUUCUUGGAUAUCUACGGUUUGCGUACAUUUCACUCCUGCAAUUGGUCAACUCAGUAUGAUUUUUGGAUUGCUUUUGUGUGCAAUCUCGUUUGCUUUCUUUAAUCAUUUGGGUCUCUGCAACUUUUAGUUUCAAACAUGCCUUAACUUAGCUCUAUUAAAUUUUGACCAGUCGAUGUGUUAAACUUAUUGUUGUUUGAAACUCUUACACUUGUUAGCAUCUUUUGGUGUUUAAUUUAGUCUCUUGCUAUCAAAUUAUUAUUUAAUAUGCAUUACUCGCAUAAUUUGUACUUCUUUAUGUCGACUAGUGUAGUGAGUUCACAAGCAUGAAUAUGCACACCCAUUAUAUAGUACAAGCCCGUUUCCCAUCAUAUUCUGAAUUUUCAUGGUAGCUUGCUUAUCUAACAUGUUUGACUCUCCUCUCUAUCAAAUGUCUUUAGUAUAUUUAACCCCUCCCUGAUUCAGCAGUAGUUAUAAUUUGCUUUUCUCAUGUCUAAAUAUUGUCCUAUUGCCAAAUUAGCAUGAUUGUUCCAUAAUAUCAUGGCGUAUACUUAGAAUAUUCUAGACCUCUUUUAGGUAAUUAGUCUAUUGUGGUAAUGCUAGAAUACCUACAUGUGUUGUUUAAGUUUACUUCUCACUAUGUUCUAAAUAUAUGUAGUGUUUAUCUUGCUUACAUAAUGUGUUUUAAUGUUACAAGACCUUUUCCCUCAAUUAUAAUCUUGCUUUCCUGCUAAUAUGCUCCCCAGUGUGUCUUAAUCCCCCCUGUUCCUUUAGUGAUUACCUGACCUGUUAUAAUGUGUGUUCCUAUCAUGUUUUAGUAUAGUCUUGUCUUCUGAUUAAAGUUGACAUAUUUGUCUUAUGAUACUAAGAUGUAUACUUAGCAUAAAUUAGACUUCUUAGGUCUCAACUUGUUAAUGUUAAAUUCUGUCAAACAUGGCAAACAUGUUCCUCCUCUAACUCUCUCACAUUAUUGUGUGCUACUAUGCUAAAUGUUAAAGUUCUCUUGACCAAGUCCUAGGACCUGCUUGACUAGCUAUUUUGUAUGCUCAACUUAGCUAUGAAUCUAUUCCCCUAACUUCUAUCCAUUCUCCUUAUUUGCAGCUUAUGCUAUUUUGAGCUCUUCAUUCUUAGUCAGCUGUAAGCCAAGGCUAUCUAGAUGUUAUUGUUGGCCUCCUUAGUGUGAGCAUUGUUCGGGGUUCAAUUGAAACCCUUGUGAACUUUGACACACUAGGACUUGGUCCUUAGUCACUCCCUCGAUCUUAAAACUGUUCCUAUUCACUCUAUUACUUUGGGAGGAAGAUGAAAUUUGGUUGUUUCUUUUGCCUUUUUCUUUUUAAUUUUUAUUCAUAGAUAGUAUUUUUGUACUUUCUAAAUGAAUUUAUGCCAUUUAUGUGUGUAUGUAAUACACAUUUAAUGCAACUCAUUUAUAUCAAUAUCACAUAAUCAUUCAAUAGUCAGAGGUAUUUAAAAACCUUGUUUUGAACAGGUAUAAGUGUUCACUUGAGAAACUGAUGAGUAUAGGGACCGGGAUGACAAACACAAACAACUAUAAUGAUCUAUUAGGUUAUCCUGGCUAUAAAAAAUACUUUUUUUAUAAAUUUAUUCGAUCCGGUAUAUUUUUAUAUAAAAUAAAAACCGACACUAUUAUUCAGUGCAGUUAAGUUUAUAUAAAAUCCUAUUAUUUU
rnacentral:lncRNA from 1 species